UACGUAGGGGGCUAGCGUUGUCCGGAAUUAUUGGGCGUAAAGAGCGCGUAGGCGGUUUCCUAAGUCAGAUGUGAAAACCCCGGGCUUAACCUGGGACCUGCAUUUGAAACUGGGAGACUAGAGUACAGGAGAGGUAAGUGGAAUUCCUAGUGUAGCGGUGAAAUGCGUAGAUAUUAGGAGGAACACCAGUGGCGAAGGCGACUUACUGGACUGUAACUGACGCUGAGGCGCGAAAGCGUGGGGAGCAAACAGG
rnacentral:rRNA from 1 species